rnacentral:rRNA from 1 species
UACGAAGGGGGCUAGCGUUGCUCGGAAUCACUGGGCGUAAAGCGCACGUAGGCGGCUUUUAAGUCAGGGGUGAAAUCCUGGAGCUCAACUCCAGAACUGCCUUUGAUACUGAGAGCUUGAGUCCGGGAGAGGUGAGUGGAACUGCGAGUGUAGAGGUGAAAUUCGUAGAUAUUCGCAAGAACACCAGUGGCGAAGGCGGCUCACUGGCCCGGUACUGACGCUGAGGUGCGAAAGCGUGGGGAGCAACAGGG